rnacentral:lncRNA from 1 species
GUUUUCUGUGGCUAGUGAGCCUUAUCUCUCCCUUUCCCAGGCAUUAUGAAGACCCUAUUUCUCUAGCUGUGCAGCUGCAAGGUCACUAGACAGAUAAACUCAAGUCAUAAAACAUGUUUUUCCUUGAAAAGAAAUGAUGUCAUGUAUGUCUCAAUUGAAUAACUGUCUUUGUUUCUUGCUUCUGUUAUACGCUUCCCCCUGCACAAAUCUUCCCCCACCCACGAAAUGCUUAAAAGGUAACUUGACUCUUUGUUUGGGGCUCAGUCCUUUGGAUGUUAAUCCAAGUGGACCAGUGCACCUAAAUAAUAAAUAUCCUCCUCAAUCCCUUGGUCUCUCUGAUUCCUUAUAUAUCCCGAUACAUUUCUGGGGGCUCAUCAGGAUUGGAGAUGACAGAUUUACUGUCCCCUUUGCCUGCGAUACUAGGUCCCCGGGGCCAGGAGAGACCCGGCAUCCAAGGUGUGCCACAGCUGAGCUUCACCCGGAUAUAUAGACCAGCUCUCCCCACGUCCCAGCACCCUGCCUGGCAGCGCAAUGGAACCGAGGAUGGGGCUGCAGGACGAUACCAGCACUUCAGGAACUGUGACAGAAUCUUGCUCCGCUGCCAAGGCUGGAGUGCACUGGUUCAAUCUCGGCUCACUGCAAACUCUGCCUCCCAAGUUCAAGUGAUUCUCCUGUGUCAGUUUCUUUAGGAAUACAGCACUCCAUAUUGUUACCAUAAUAAUGAAACGGAUUCCCAUGGCUACAGCGAUGAAGCAGCAGAAAAAAAAUGGAGAUGCUGUCAAAGAAAAAAGACACAGAUCAGAGAAAGAAGCAUAAAAGUGAUAUGUCUUGUCAUUCCCUUGAUGAUCCGAAG